GAGUUUGAUCGUGGCUCAGAUUGAACGCUGGCGGCAUGCCUUACACAUGCAAGUCGAACGGCAGCAUGAUCUAGCUUGCUAGAUUGAUGGCGAGUGGCGAACGGGUGAGUAAUACAUCGGAACGUGCCCUGUAGUGGGGGAUAACUAGUCGAAAGAUUAGCUAAUACCGCAUACGACCUGAGGGUGAGAGUGGGGGACCGCAAGGCCUCAUGCUAUAGGAGCGGCCGAUGUCUGAUUAGCUAGUUGGUGGGGUAAAGGCCCACCAAGGCGACGAUCAGUAGCUGGUCUGAGAGGACGAUCAGCCACACUGGGACUGAGACACGGCCCAGACUCCUACGGGAGGCAGCAGUGGGGAAUUUUGGACAAUGGGGGCAACCCUGAUCCAGCAAUGCCGCGUGUGUGAAGAAGG
rnacentral:rRNA from 1 species